UACAGAGGUCUCAAGCGUUGUUCGGAUUCAUUGGGCGUAAAGGGUGCGUAGGUGGCGCGCUAAGUCCGUUGUGAAAGUCAAAGGCUCAACCUUUGAAAGCCGAUGGAUACUGCAGGGCUAGAGUCCGGAAGAGGCGAGUGGAAUUCCUGGUGUAGCGGUGGAAUGCGCAGAUAUCAGGAGGAACACCAAUAGCGAAGGCAGCUCGCUGGGACGGUACUGACGCUAAGGCGCGAAAGCGUGGGGAGCGAACAGG
rnacentral:rRNA from 1 species